GAAGACCAAUGCUUCGCAUUGCUGGCAGCUGUCCAGAAAAAAACCUUGAGGAGCAGAAAAAAGCAAGUGCAGUGUUUUGGGCUCCCUCAUUUGGCACCCACACACAGAGGAUGGUCUAAUUGGGAUUCUAAAGCAGGCUGCCCUCCUGAGCAAUGAUUUCUCCAGGAUCUGGUUGCCUUUAAGUCGGGCUGAUGUGGAUCUCCAGUACUGGAGUGAGAGCUUGUAUUGUGCUCCAUUGAGGUGAUGUGCUCCCAUUGUUAAUAAUCGUCCUGGGACUAGAAGUGGGGUCACUGUGUCAAGUUGUUACAGACUGGCUGCCAUUAAUGGGAAGCUCGGUGCAGAGGUUACAAGCUGGUGUACUGAGCUCGGAUUGAAAAGAGGGGGAAAACAAUCUCUUUCCCCUUUGAUCAACUAAUGUUACUUUUUUCCUGGUUUUUUUUUCUGCCCUAAUGUUAUCUUUGCAGUGCUGAAUCUCUUACUGAGGAUUUUGCUGCAUAAAAUGUCGGUUUUGCUGGUGAUGUUUCUUCUUUCUUUGAAUAAAUGGGAAAGCAAAUAGUAAUCAUCCUGCUGUGUGUUUCGACAGGUUCGGUGGGAUCACACUCCAAGACCAAGAGGGUUUCUUUGAACUGGGCACCCAAAAUUACCUGUUACCAUGUUAGGUGAUAGAGCUGCCCCAUAUUUGACAUAAUGACUAAUGUUCCUUGUGUCAACAGAGUAGAAAGAAGACAUGAGGUUGUUGAGGCUGUGGCUGUGUUUGUUGAACAGUUCCCAGCUAGCCUGGGUGUGGGAUUGGUAUUUCCUGGAACAUCUUCUCUCCCAGUGAAGCUGGAAAGGAAUAAAGCUCAUUGAGUAGAGAGUCAGCCCAUGGCAGAGGGUUGGAAUGAGAUGAUCUUUAAAAUCCCUUUCAACACAAACCAUUCUGGGAUUCCAUGAGUAGGCAAGGUGCAAGCGAUUGGUAAAGUCCCCAUUGUCCACCCAAAACUGUUGCUGGUCCUGUGCUGUGGACACAAGGGGCCCUGAAAUAGGUGAGAGCUGGACACCUUGUUCCAUUGGAGUCCCUGCCUCUCCAAGGUGGGUUAGGAUCUGUGCCUGGGUGAGUUUAAUUACCGGAGACCUCAUUAUUUAUCAUACACAGACCUGAGAGAUGCUGUUCCUUUUAUUUUCUGACAGAACAUUCGAUUCCUUGUGUAGUUCCUGUGGCAUGUCUGCGCUGUUGAUCCCCAGGGAGACACAGAGAUGUGGAUGAUUUUCUUUUUCCAUGGACUGUGGGCUGUGAUUCCCUGAAAAUACCUUGGCCAGAAAGCAAUGCUGUGUCUCUUUGUUGUUCCACAUGUUGUUAAGCUUUAAAUGAUGCACAAGCCAGGAUCUAAGGCCAUGAGGUGGUUCAUGCACUGUGUGAGUGCUAAGGCUGGUGUUAGGAUGCCUCAUCAUGCCCAGUUUCUGCUGGUUCUGUGAGGUGUUUCGAGUUCACAAAGAGCAUCCUUCUCAGCACAGUGGAGUCUGAUGAGAUGGACGCCUCAGCAAACCUGAGCUCAUCUUUGGAGUCUCCAACUGCAACAGCAGCCAGGCUUCUCUCUGCCCUCUUGCCUCAGUUGAAAGUUGGGUAUAAAGAUAAAGAAAGGUUUUUCUAAUGCUUAAUAUCAUUAUCCAAUACUUUCCUCUGGUUGGAUUGUGUGUGCUGGGGAUAUUAUUAUAAUUAUAUUGGGAUCAGCAGUUACGGUGAUAUUGUGGUGGGGGCCUGAGUUACCUGGAUUAAAAGAUGAGUUACCUGGAUUUGAACAAUGAGCUGCCAGUACUACUUGGAAACCCAACUUAAGCCAUCAACAGUGCAGCAAAACCUGGAAAAGCUGCUCUCCAGAGCUGGUGCUGGGAUGCUGAAAGAACAGCAGUUGCCUCUUUUUCAUCUUUCUCUACUGGUGACUUUAAUUGCCCCUCAUUUCUCAGGGUUAUACUGUUGGAAAGUAAAGUAUGUAGUUCCUGCAUUCAUGUGUGAGUGUAGGAGAGAGGUGUUGAGCUUAUCAAAUAACAUAAUUUUUACUUGAUUUGCAGCAUAUUUGUGAUACAUCUGUUCUGCUGACCUGAUGUGCUGUCUUACAAUGUGCUACCAGUGCUCCACCAGCUGCUCCAUCACCUGGUGAGACGCUCCUGAGAAGUUCCUGCCUCCAGAGUGGCCUCCAGCCCAGGCCCAGAGGAUGGAUUUGGACCAGCCUGUGUUGCUGUGGAGACUGCAAGGAUGUUGAGGAUGCCAGGAGGAUCAUUCACAGGUGCUGUGCUCAGCAGAAUCUUCUCCCCACCUCUGCAGCAAAGCUACCAGUGCCUGCUGGGAUAAAAAUGUGAAUUUACAGA